rnacentral:rRNA from 1 species
GACGAACGCUGGCGGCGUGCUUAACACAUGCAAGUCGAACGAUGAAGCCUAGCUUGCUAGGUGGAUUAGUGGCGAACGGGUGAGUAAUACGUGAGUAACCUACCUUUAACUCUGGGAUAAGCCUGGGAAACUGGGUCUAAUACCGGAUACGACCAAUCUCCGCAUGGGGUGUUGGUGGAAAGCGUUAUGUAGUGGUUAUAGAUGGGCUCACGGCCUAUCAGCUUGUUGGUGAGGUAACGGCUCACCAAGGCGACGACGGGUAGCCGGCCUGAGAGGGUGACCGGCCACACUGGGACUGAGACACGGCGCAGACUCCUACGGGAGGCAGCAGUGGGGAAUAUUGCACAAUGGGCGCAAGCCUGAUGCAGCGACGCCGCGUGAGGGAUGACGGCCUUCGGGUUGUAAACCUCUGUUAGCAGGGAAGAAGAGAGAUUGACGGUACCUGCAGAGAAAGCGCCGGCUAACUACGUG